GUCUGUGCACCAGAAACGUCGGUUGUAGUCAUUCCAGCCGUACCACAAACAGAACCGUCCGAGGUGCUUCCAAUACUUGUUCAUACGCCGGAACGCAGGAUGUGCUCAUUCUUAAGAAAUGAGUGCUCGCAAAUGAUGUACGGGAUAUGUAUUCUAGUUGCGGUGAUACAUUUUUGUCUGGUCAGUAUAACUAGAAUUGUCCUAGGCGUCUAUUACUGGACAAGCGCUACAAUGCUUCCUACUUGUCAUAUUGGGAAAGGCAUUUUCGACCUAUCUACAGCACUAGUGAUGUGUUGCUCGUUUGAAGGAUGUGUUGUUGU